AUGGCGGCGGCUAGAAGGGCAGCAGCAGCCAGAGGGGCGUCAACCGGUCCAGCAGCGACCUUGACGGAGGAGAAGGGCCAGGCAGGAUUCGUGCCCCUGCACCUUCAGGGGAAAGAGCUUCUUCCUGGAUCACCAAACUGUAGCAGAUCAUGUGAUGUUAAGCAUGAGGAAACUGCGGAAGAGGAGAGUGAUGAUGACACAUAUGCUGACUUCUACUACUGCCACUCAAGGGCCGCGAACAGACUACUUGACGACGAAAAACAUGAAAUAAUCGGGUUGGCUUCAAUCCAACCAGGCAAUCCAGCAUUCAUGACAUUUCUGCUAAGGUCCCAUCUGCAACGCAAGGACAACUUUCUGGUCAUCCCCAGUGAAUUUGUAGAUGAACAUCUCCACAUGAGAUUACAUGAGGUUGUGCUGCUCAGGCCAAACAGAGAAGAGAGGUGGCAUGUCAGCUACUACCACCAGGGGAGCUCUAGCAGAGGCUUCAGGGGCCAACCUUGGGCCAAGUUCGUCAGCGACAACAAACUGCACAAGGGGGAUAUCUGCGUCUUCGAGCUGAUCAAUGGCGCGAGGAAUGAGAAGAAGGCCAGGACGACGAUGACCGUCCAUGUUGUUAGGAGGAACAAGUCCGACGUGUAG
rnacentral:rRNA from 1 species